rnacentral:tRNA from 1 species
UAUGCUGAAGUCCGCUGGAUGGGGCGCUUAGUUGUUAACUAAUUUUUUUACGGGAUCGAAGCCCGUCAGCCUGG